rnacentral:rRNA from 1 species
UACGUAGGGUCCAAGCGUUGUCCGGAUUUAUUGGGCGUAAAGAGCUCGUAGGCGGUUCGGUAAGUCGGAUGUGAAAACUCAGGGCUCAACCCGGAGACGCCAUCCGAUACUGCUGUGACUUGAGUCUGGUAGGGGAACACGGAAUACCUGGUGUAGCGGUGAAAUGCGCAGAUAUCAGGUGGAACACCGAUGGCGAAGGCAGUGAUCUGGGCCAGUACUGACGCUGAGGAGCGAAAGCGUGGGGAGCAAACAGG